GCCACGUGAAGGAUGUGUUUGCUUCCCCUUCCACCAUGAUUGUAAGUUUCCUGAGGCCUCCCCAGCCAUGUGGAACUGUGAAUUAAACUUCUUUCCUGGAGUGUGAAAAUGAACUAAUAAACUCUGUGACCUCAGAGACUCCCUCUCUGUGACCCUGUUCUCAAAUGUAUGAAGAUGGGUGCUCAAAGAUCUCUCUCUAAACAUGGAACAGGGCCUGUCUGAAGACAUAAGUGAUUAACUUCUAAUCUAUAACUAAGGUCUGAGUCCUGAAGACCUUCCUCUGGAGGCUGAGUAGUUAAUCUAGAUGGGUCCAGGUGCUGCAGGUAAAAUACCUCUUUUCUGACAAGACUAGGACUCUUACAUAGACUACCAUGAACUAAAAGAAGCACAACAUUGCCAGAGUAACCUGUGAUACUGUCUUCAUGCGAACUUGGUAUCCUGUUUCCAUCCCAGCCUUCUAUAACCCAGUAACAUCUUUUUUGAAACCAGUGGGUGAGAAAGACACCUGGUCAGGAACGCGGACCACAGGACAACUCAGGCUCACCCACGGCAUCAGACUAAAGGCAAACAAGGACUCUGUAUAAAGUACCGGUGGCAUGUGUAUUAGUGGAGAUGCAGCCUGUGCUCUGCAGACAGGGAGUCACACAGACACUUUUCUAUAAUUUCUUAAGUGCUUUGAAUGUUCAAGUAGAAAGUCUAACAUUAAAUUUGAUUGAACAAUUGUAUAUUCAUGGAAUAUUUUGGAACGGAAUACCAAAAAAUGGCAAUAGUGGUUCUUUCUGGAUGGAAGACAAACUUUUCUUGUUUAAAAUAAAUUUUAUUUUAUAUAUUUGAGGUUGACCACAUGACCUUAAGGAUACAUAUAGACAGUAAACUGGUUACUACAGUGAAGCAAAUUAACAUAUCUACCAUCGUACAUAGUUACAUUUUUUUGUGUGACAGGAACAGCUAAAAUCUACGUAUUUAACAAAAAUCCUAAAGACAAUACAUUUUUAUUAACUAUAGCCCUCAUGAUGUACAUUAGAUCUCUAACUUGAUCAUCCUAUAUGUCUGCUUUGUAUUUUCUUAAUGUACGUCUCCCCAUUUGCUAUUGGUCAUUUCCUAUUUGGCUCAUUUUUCAACUGGGUUGUUUUCCUGUUAUUAAAAGAGUUCUUUACUGA
rnacentral:lncRNA from 10 species